rnacentral:rRNA from 1 species
GAUGAACGCUAGCGGCGGGCCUAAUACAUGCAAGUCGAACGGUGUCUUCGGACAUAGUGGCGCACGGGUGCGUAACACGUAUGCAACCUACCUUACAUUGGGGGAUAGCCUUUCGAAAGGGAGAUUAAUACCGCAUAAGACAGUAGCUGGGCAUCCAGCAGCUGUUAAAGAUUUAUCGAUGUAAGCUGGGCAUGCGUCCAAUUAGCUAGUUGGUGAGGUAACGGCUCACCAAGGCAAUGAUUGGUAGGGGAACUGAGAGGUCAAUCCCCCACACUGGCACUGGGAUACGGGCCAGACUCCUAUGGGAGGCAGCAGUAGGGAAUAUUGGGCAAUGGACGCAAGUCUGACCCAGCCAUGCCGCGUGCAGGAUGAAGGCGUUAUGCGUUGUAAACUGCUUUUAUACAGGAAGAAACGACUCUUGCGAGAGGAAUUGACGGUACUGUAUGAAUAAGCACCGGCUAACUCCGUGCCAGCCGCCGCCGUAAUAC